rnacentral:rRNA from 1 species
AUACGUAGGUGGCGAGCGUUGUCCGGAUUUACUGGGCGUAAAGAGUGCGUAGGCGGAUGUUUAAGUGAGAUGUGAAAUACCCGAGCUCAACUUGGGUGCUGCAUUUCAAACUGGGCAUCUAGAGUGCAGGAGAGGAAAGCGGAAUUCCUAGUGUAGCGGUGAAAUGCGUAGAGAUUAGGAAGAACACCAGUGGCGAAGGCGGCUUUCGGGACUGUAACUGACGCUGAGGCACGAAAGCGUGGGGAGCAAACAGGAUUAGAUACCCUGGUAGUCCACGCCGUAAACGAUGGGUACUAGGUGUCGGGGGUCCAACCUCGGUGCCGCAGUAAACACAUUAAGUACCCCGCCUGGGGAGUACGGUCGCAAGAUUAAAACUCAAAUGAAUUGACGGGG